rnacentral:rRNA from 1 species
UACCAGCACCCCGAGUGGUCGGGACGAUUAUUGGGCCUAAAGCAUCCGUAGCCGGUCCUACAAGUCUUCCGUUAAAUCCACCUGCUUAACAGAUGGGCUGCGGAAGAUACUAUAGGGCUAGGAGGCGGGAGAGGCAAGCGGUACUCAGUGGGUAGGGGUAAAAUCCUCUGAUCCAUUGAAGACCACCAGUGGCGAAGGCGGCUUGCCAGAACGCGCUCGACGGCGAGGGAUGAAAGCUGGGGGAGCAAACCGG